ensembl:lncRNA novel transcript
UGAGUAGAUCAGCUGGAUAGGAGUGAGGAGUUGGAGGAAGGGUUGGGGUAUGGCCAGUGCAGUUAAGUGACUUGCCUUAGUGCACACCCCCAGAAAGUGACAGCACCAGCAUUUGAACCCUGACACAAGCAUCUCCAAAACUGCAUUCUUCCCACUGUGCCACAGUUAAGAUGAGUCCACCAGCCCUGUUUAGGCUGUGUUCUCCGGAAGCAGGUUCUGAUAUGAAGAUUCCUGUGAAAGACAUGCAUUAGGAAACGUUCCCAGGAUAAACCAGGAGAUGUGGGUCUUGGCCAAGAAACUGUUCCAUAUUUGCAUGUCUUGGCUUGGAAUCUGGCUCUUCUGCCAUCUGCCAUGAGAGGAAUGGAGUGGGUAACCACUGGUCCCAGGAGAAUGAGAUCCUUGAAACAGCCCAACCCACAGCCUGGAGCCCAGCCCAUGAGAGCCACGGCUGUCAGUGGGAAGUAAGUGCUUGUUGCCAUCUCCUCAGUCUGCAGACAGUGUGUGUUGCAUAGCAUUAUUGCCACAAUAGCUGACUAAUGGACUGUGGGACCCUUGGCUAGUUACUUAUGUUCAUCUCUGUGAGAUGCAGUUUCCUCAUCUAUAAAAAAAUGAGCAAUAACCCUUUACCUUGAAGCCCUAGUGUGAUGGUUUAAUGGGCUAUGACAUAAGUAAAGCACAUGGCCUGGU